rnacentral:lncRNA from 1 species
GUUUGGUUUUCACACGCCAAAGAUGUACCGAAGUAUAGAGGGCUGCUGUAUUUGCAGAGCUAAGUCCUCUAGUUCUCGAUUCACUGACAGUAAACGCUAUGAAAAGGACUUCCACAGCUGUUCUGGAUUGCAUGAGACUCCUUCAGGAGACAUCUGCAAUGCCUGUGUCCUGCUUGUGAAAAGAUGGAAGAAGUUGCCAGCAGGAUCAAAAAAAAAACUGGAAUCAUGUGGUAGAUGCAAGGGCUGGACCCAGUCUAAAGACUACAUUGAAACCAAAGAAAGUGACUCUAUCUGGGAACAAGAUAAAGAGCAACCAUAUCAGUAAACUGCAGAAGGAAUUUAAACAUCGUAAUUCUGAUGCUCACAGUACCACCUCCAGUGCCUCCCAGCUCAAUCUCCUUGUUACAGUAACCAGUCAGAUGACGGCUCAGAUACAGAGAUGGCUUCUGGUUCUAACAGAACACCAGUUGUUUCCUUUUUAGAUCUCACAUACUAGAAAAGACAGAAGACAUGUUGUGGGAUCAUCUAUAAAGGCCGUUUUGGGGAAGUUCUCAUUGACACACAUCUCUUCAAGCCUUGCUGCAGCAAUAAGAAAGCAGCUGCCGAGAAGCCAGAGGAGCAGGGGCCACAGCCUCUGCCCAUCUCCACUCAGGAGUGG